rnacentral:rRNA from 1 species
AUGCUAGCUGCUGCGGGCCGCCUGACUCUAACUCGCUCGGUACUCAUGGCCUUACCUAUUCAUCUGAUGGCUGUGCUUCCCAUGCCGGCAUGGGCCAUUAAGAUCAUUAACAGGCGAUGUCGAGGGUUUAUAUGGAAAGGGGAGGAGGAGAUCAAUGGUGGCCGUUGUCUGAUGCCUUGGUCUAGAGUUUGUUUGCCUCUCGAGGUAGGAGGGCUCGGUAUUAUUAACUUGAAGUGGUUCGGCUUCGCUCUAAGAUGCAAGUGGCCUUGGUUACAUUGGGACUCCGAAGAGAGACCGUGGCAG